GGGCCGCUAGCUCAGUCCGGUAGAGCAGCUGACUCUUAAUCAGGAGGUCCAAGGUUCGAAUCCUUGGCGGCCCAC
rnacentral:tRNA from 1 species